rnacentral:tRNA from 1 species
AUUACUUUGGCAGAUUAGUGCUUUAAAUUUAGAAUUUAAUUAAGAAAUUAAUAUUAUUUUCAAGUAAUA